UGAUCAUGGCUCAGAUUGAACGCUGGCGGCAGGCCUAACACAUGCAAGUCGAACGGUAACAGGAAGCAGCUUGCUGUUUCGCUGACGAGUGGCGGACGGGUGAGUAAUGUCUGGGAAACUGCCUGAUGGAGGGGGAUAACUACUGGAAACGGUAGCUAAUACCGCAUAACGUCGCAAGACCAAAGAGGGGGACCUUCGGGCCUCUUGCCAUCGGAUGUGCCCAGAUGGGAUUAGCUAGUAGGUGGGGUAACGGCUCACCUAGGCGACGAUCCCUAGCUGGUCUGAGAGGAUGACCAGCCACACUGGAACUGAGACACGGUCCAGACUCCUACGGGAGGCAGCAGUGGGGAAUAUUGCACAAUGGGCGCAAGCCUGAUGCAGCCAUGCCGCGUGUAUGAAGAAGGCCUUCGGGUUGUAAAGUACUUUCAGCGGGGAGGAA
rnacentral:rRNA from 1 species